GACGAACGCUGGCGGCGUGCUUAACACAUGCAAGUCGAGCGGUAAGGCCCUUUCGGGGGUACGACGAGCGGCGAACGGGUGAGUAACACGUGGGUGACCUGCCUCUAGCUCUGGGAUAAGCCCGGGAAACUGGGUCUAAUACUGGAUAUGACUCCAUGACGCAUGUUGUGGGGUGGAAAGCCUUGUGCGGCUAGAGAUGGGCCCGCGGCCUAUCAGCUUGUU
rnacentral:rRNA from 1 species